UACGUAGGGUGCAAGCGUUGUCCGGAAUUAUUGGGCGUAAAGAGCUCGUAGGCGGUUUGUCGCGUCGAAUGUGAAAACCCGGGGCUCAACCCCGGGCCUGCAUUCGAUACGGGCAGACUAGAGUUCGGUAGGGGAGUCUGGAAUUCCUGGUGUAGCGGUGAAAUGCGCAGAUAUCAGGAGGAACACCAGUGGCGAAGGCGGUUCUCUGGGCCUUACCUGACGCUGAGGAGCGAAAGCGUGGGGAGCAAACAGG
rnacentral:rRNA from 1 species